ACCCUGUUUUUUUAUCUUUUGAUUUUCUUCCACUGCUCUUCAUACACUUGUCAUGAGUUUCCAUAUCUCGUCCACCACCCUCUCUCUCCAGUUUAUCAUUCAAAAUCAAAGGCAUAAACCAAUAUGCUUAAUGACAUGUACAGCCAUUUUCAAACUCAGAGGUGAAAAACCAUGGUUUUGUGUGUUAGUAGUUAAAUGAUUGGAGGGAUAAGCAAACUGCUUGAUUGCUCAAUUAGGUUGGAAGACUUGUAUUCAGUUGUGGCUAAAUGAAAAAACUGAGCUGAGGAAAGCUCUAUGAGUCAUUGAAAUGACAGCAUGACGGCCUUUGAUCUAUCAAUAGAAGGAGCAAAAGACGGGUUUUGCUUUCCUUUACCAUAUGAAGAAAUAAAGAAAUAAGAGUCCAAGUUUGUUGGUUCGGUUUUGGCUCAUUCUUUAAUAUGUUGUAUCUUGCCAUGUUUGAUCCGUCUGUUGGUAUAACAUAUAUGUCUUCUCUAAUAAUAGCCAAUCAAGAAGCCAAAGCUAGAGCCAACCCAGCACAUCGGGCGAUGAAUCCCUUAGCUGAACAUAAAGAUGAAGAAAUAGGGAGACUGGAGAGAUAAAUUCUGCGUUGGUGGAGGUAAUCAUUGUCAUGUGGUGGUGGACCAUAGAAACGCGACGAUAAAAAUGGUGGUGGACGUGGUUGAUAUGGUACGGAGAAGGAGAGAAAAAGAAAGAAAUACAAAUCCAUCAAAAUGAUUUGUUAUGGCUUAAUUUACACUAUGAAAUUCUAUUUACUCCUUCAAAAUCCAAAAUCCUUCAAAAUCAAUGAUUUUUUAAUACAUAUGGACUUUUUACAAAUUCAUUUGAAAUCCUUAUUGAACACACUAGAAUUUCUAUUAAUUUUUAUUAACUCCUUUAAAAUUCUAAUUAUAUACCCUAAUUUUUGAAAAACUCAUUUAACAUAUAUGUUGAGUCUAAUUAUUCUUAAACUUCUUUCAAAUCUAAAUUGCAUACACUACCUUAGUUUCCUCCAGUAUCCCAAAAUUUUCAAAAGAAUCAAUUAAAAUAAGAAUUUUCUGCCUUAACCUUAUCAAACUCUUACAUUUUCUCGUAGAAAAAAUAAAUUCCCACCUUGAUUUUCGCCAAUUGUAAAAAUCUAACUAGCUUUUCACUCAUAAGAAGUAACAUUUCAUGCCAAUUAUCAUACUCAUGAAAGAAGAAUGAUAAAUAAGUUCACUCAUUUUAUGUGAUAAAUAAAUUCAAUCUGUAACCAAUCUAAUGUUCAUACCUUGCUGUUGAAGAAUAUGUUUAAUUUUCCUUUUCCAAUAGAUUUCCAUACUAUAAAAAACUCCCAUGAUCUGGUUAAGUGUCUCUCUAGGCUCUAUCCACGAACCAUUGAAUAAUUUUAUUUAUUAUUUUAUCAUCAAGAUAACUUCAUUAAAGAUGGGAAAUUUUGGAAACCGGCAACCGCGUCACGUGUUCGUGCAGGCGCAGACACAAAAAAACAUCUCUAAUUCCAUCCCUUGGUUUGCCACGCUAUCUCUGAUCCAUUGUUUGGUUUCACCUCCAUCUCACACAAUACCCCUUAUCCGGCACCCGUACAGAAGACCUUCUUCGAAGAGGGAGGCCAGCUACGACAAGGGGGAUCCGAAUUUGAGGACAUAGAGUGGAACACAAUUCUUUCUAGCCAACUGGACUAAGAUCCGGUCAUGUAUGUGGAAGUCCAAACCCUAGGGUUGGUAAUAUAGAAGCCAUCUUAUAUUAUUUUCCACUCUAAAAGGUUACUUUGUUUGGAAAGUGGGAUGAAGGUAAUAUUCCACGACAAUUAACUCGACUUAAAUACGUAAAUCUCAUGCACGAUCGUAUCAUCGUGGGCGGCCUAGACAUAAUUAAACCACAAAGUAAUUAACAUACAUUUAUCUCUUACAUUAAGUGGCGUACACACAUUGGGAUCAAGAUAGUCCCAUGGAAUUCAAGAAAUAUACAUGUGAAGGUCUUUUGAGAAUCCUUUAAUUGAUUGGUAGGCGUUUUUUUAUGCCCAUCAAAUGUUUAAUGUAAUGUCUACUAGACAUAUAUCAGCCGUGUUAGAAUGUGAGCAUGAGUAUGAAUUUGUGGAUUAAGUUAUUUGAUUCAAGUUUGGAUAGGAAGUCUUAUUGAGAAUGGAUUUUUUAAUACUUAUUAACAAAUUCUCUUGAUAGCAGCAUAUGUUAAUACUUAUUGACAUGUGCGCAACAUGUUUUUGAUCAUGAUAACAAACUCACCAAAUAUUCGACGAAUGUCUCAUUGAAUAAAUUAGAAUUUUUUAGCGCACUUCUCAAUUCGUUUCUUUUAAAAAUUUAAGACCCUUUGAUACUGAGACCCCCACUGUGCGAAUUCUGGAUCUGCCAGUAUACAGUAUCUCAUGAUCGUGAAUAAAAAAAUAGCACCAUGAAGGCAUGAAAUGCCUCGCAAUAUUAAAAACUUUAUCUUUGUUCAAUCUUGCGUCAUCCAUGAUUCCAUGCACACGAUCAGCCACCAGAAAAAUAUUACCAAUAUUGAAAACUUUCACUCCCCAAAAUUUCUAAAUGCCUAAGGUUAAAUUAAACAAUGGAUUAAGAGACCCAAAAAGUGGAGAUAUACAAGACCGGCUUUGAGACUUUGAGAGUCCUAGUCGAACCUUCGAAGUGAGCUCUAGAAUUCUUUGAUCUCCGUUAUGUAUAAAAAAAAGUUACACGGAAAGAAAAUGUCUAUUUCUAUAUUAAAUAUCAUUAAACAUUAGAGAAUUGUUAUUAGCACUCCAAAAAUCUCAUUUACCACUCCAAUCUUUCUAUAAUUAGAAAGAAAAUUCCACUUGUAAGGAAUGUAGAAUGAGAUUUUUGGAGUACUAAUAAUAGUUUUAAAAAUUAAUAUCAAAAGAAGAAAGAUAUCUCAAGUCCCAACAUUACUUAAAUAUUCCACGUAUCGCGUUUUGAGACACAAAUGUACUAAAUAAGAAAGAUAUCCCAAGUCCCAACAUUACUUAAAUAUUCCACGUAUCGCGUUUUGAGACACAAAUGUACUAAAUAAGUUUACAUAAUCAAAAUUUUCAACCAAUUUCUUUUUUCAAUUAACAAAAUAUCUGACCCAUUCAAUCUACAAAUAGAUGAUGACAUUGAUAAUCUUGGGGUGUUUUUAUAGUUCCAAUUCAACAAAUUUUUUUUCCAGUAACAUGGAAGAAGAAAGAGAAAUAUUAAGGAACAAUUAAUCUAGCUGUGGCGACUCCAGAGCAGUCAUUGGAAAAAGUUUGAACUAAAUAAAGAGGAGACUCCGCAAGCUCUUGAAACUCCAUCUUGCUAUAUAAACCCAAUUAGGCUAGCCCGUCAAUUGCAAAAUUACGUUAUUUAUGAACUUGCUACACAUUAUGACUCCAUUUCUCUAUGAUCAAACUUCUACAUUCCGAAACAUGACUAUAGAGAGGAUGAUUAUUAAGGCUAGGAGAACCAUGAAUGAGAGAGACCACCAAAGAAUAAUCGGCCUCUACAAUAAGAUGAAAGAAAUUUCUAGCUUUAGUUGUCUUCAACUCAUAAAACAAAGCCCAAAGCUCACCAUGGAGAACUUCCCCAACUCCUUUUUUAGCAAUAAAACCAGUGAUCCUCCACUUCCAAUCACUCUCUUUUUAGCAAUAAAACCAGUGAUCCUCCACUUCCAAUCACCCCGUUAGAACCAAGCCUAGCACCAUCCACAUUUAACUUAAAGGUCACAAACGAACGAGGAACCCAAGCCAAGAGAACUUGCACAUGGUCAUGUUUAUUAAAGAAUUUGAUGUGCAAAACAGUAAAACCCUAAAAUCGAAUCCAUAAACCCCUAAAAGAUUGAAUCUUUAAAUCCCUAAAAUCUUUCAAAUCCUAAAUCCCUAGAGUAAUCCAUAAAACCUUAAGAUUGAAUAUGUAAACCCCUAAAAUCUUUCAAAUCCUAAAUCCUUAGAGGGAGCAUGGAUUCGAAAAUCCCAACUCCAUUCACAAGCAAGCUUACAAAUUAAAUUACAGAAAAAACAGAAGAGGACAGAGAAGCUAGAGAAGAGAAGGAAUCACCUGACCUAUAAGUUGAGAAUAAUAUCACCUCGCCGGGCUCACCUACUAGUCACCACCAAGUCGGACCAAUUAGACCGAAAGAGGAGUUGCUAGACUCACUACCUAGUACUCCAAAUUUCAAUCAUAUUCUAUUGUUUAGUUACAAAGUUACUUAUUACGUUCAGUAAAUGAAUGAAUGGUUAGGUUACAGAAACUACAUCUGACAAUUGGGGAAAAUAUUAAAGUAGGGAUACAUACGGGUGAGAGAAAAUAAAAAAAUGUAAAUUAUUUUCUAGAAAAUUAUAUUAUUGCCUAUAAUUAUAUAUAUAUAUAUAUAUAUAUAUAUAUAUAUAUAUAUAUAUAAUGGGGGGUCUUUGUUGGGGGAGAGCUAUGCGGGCCUACUUCGGCUACCCUUAAGGACGCCCUUGGAGAAAUACGUGAGGUCAAAAUGGAAUUCUGAAAAUCAUUUCCCUUAAGAUAUAUUGUUUACGGUAAUCCUAAAAAGUUAUUUUGAACUUAAGGUAUAUCUUUUAAUCUUUAGAAAGGAUAAAGUCAAAUUACGAUUAUUUUGCACUAAAUACCUAAAUCUUGAACAUCGUACGGCCUUUUACAAUAGACAGAUACUAAUAUAUUCAACUCAUAAGAGGAGUUGCUAGACUCACUACCUAGUACUCCAAAUUUCAAUCAUAUUCUAUUGUUUAGUUACAAAGUUACUUAUUACGUUCAGUAAAUGAAUGAAUGGUUAGGUUACAGAAACUACAUCUGACAAUUGGGGAAAAUAUUAAAGUAGGGAUACAUACGGGUGAGAGAAAAUAAAAAAAUGUAAAUUAUUUUCUAGAAAAUUAUAUUAUUGCCUAUAAUUAUAUAUAUA
rnacentral:lncRNA from 1 species